rnacentral:rRNA from 1 species
GGCUACGGCUCAACCGUAGUAAGCUCUUGAAACUGGGAGACUUGAGUGCAGGAGAGGAGAGUGGAAUUCCUAGUGUAGCGGUGAAAUGCGUAGAUAGGAGGAGGAACACCAGUUGCGAAGGAGGAGCGCGGGAAUGUAACGGACGCGGAGGCACGAAAGAGGGGGGAGCAAACAGGAUGAGAUAACCUGGGAGGCAAAGCGGGAAACGAGGAGUACGAGGUGUCGGGGGUUACCCCCUUCGGUGCCGCAGCUA